rnacentral:rRNA from 1 species
GACGAACCACACGAACGUUAUUCGGAAUCACUGGGCUUAAAGGGUGCGUAGGCGGCGCGGAAAGUAGGGUGUGAAAUCCCUCGGCUCAACCGAGGAACUGCGCUCUAAACUACCGUGCUCGAGGGAGACAGAGGUGAGCGGAACUUAGGGUGGAGCGGUGAAAUGCGUUGAUAUCCUAAGGAACACCGGUGGCGAAAGCGGCUCACUGGGUCUCUUCUGACGCUGAUGCACGAAAGCUAGGGUAGCGAACGGG